GGGCGAUUAGCUCAGCUGGUCAGAGCACCUGCCUUACAAGCAGGGUGUCAUAAGUUCGAAUCUUAUAUCGCCCACCA
rnacentral:tRNA from 1 species